GGGGAAUAUUGGACAAUGGGCGCAAGCCUGAUCCAGCAAUGCCGCGUGUGUGAAGAAGGCCUUCGGGUUGUAAAGCACUUUAAGUUGGGAGGAAAAGCUGGGAGUUAAUAGCUCCUAGUGUUGACGUUACCAACAGAAUAAGCACCGGCUAACUCCGUGCCAGCAGCCGCGGUAAUACGGAGGGUGCAAGCGUUAAUCGGAAUUACUGGGCGUAAAGCGCGCGUAGGCGGUUAUUUAAGUCAGAUGUGAAAGCCCCGGGCUUAACCUGGGAAUGGCAUUUGAGACUGGAUGGCUAGAGUAUGGUAGAGGUGAGUGGAAUUUCAGGUGUAGCGGUGAAAUGCGUAGAGAUCUGAAGGAACAUCAGUGGCGAAGGCGACUCACUGGGCCAUUACUGACGCUGAGGUGCGAAAGCGUGGGUAGCAAAC
rnacentral:rRNA from 1 species